rnacentral:tRNA from 1 species
UUGUAGCUCAGUUGGAUAGAGCAACGGCCUUCUAAGCCGUGGGUCGGGGGUUCGAAUCCCUCCAG